GGUUAAGCGACUAAGCGUACACGGUGGAUGCCCUGGCAGUCAGAGGCGAUGAAGGACGUGCUAAUCUGCGAUAAGCGUCGGUAAGGUGAUAUGAACCGUUAUAACCGGCGAUUUCCGAAUGGGGAAACCCAGUGUGAUUCGUCACACUAUCAUUAACUGAAUCCAUAGGUUAAUGAGGCGAACCGGGGGAACUGAAACAUCUAAGUACCCCGAGGAAAAGAAAUCAACCGAGAUUCCCCCAGUAGCGGCGAGCGAACGGGGAGCAGCCCAGAGCCUGAAUCAGUGUGUGUGUUAGUGGAAGCGUCUGGAAAGGCGUGCGAUACAGGGUGACAGCCCCGUACACAAAAAUGCACAUACUGUGAGCUCGAUGAGUAGGGCGGGACACGUGGUAUCCUGUCUGAAUAUGGGGGGACCAUCCUCCAAGGCUAAAUACUCCUGACUGACCGAUAGUGAACCAGUACCGUGAGGGAAAGGCGAAAAGAACCCCGGCGAGGGGAGUGAAAAAGAACCUGAAACCGUGUACGUACAAGCAGUGGGAGCACGCUUAGGCGUGUGACUGCGUACCUUUUGUAUAAUGGGUCAGCGACUUAUAUUCUGUAGCAAGGUUAACCGAAUAGGGGAGCCGAAGGGAAACCGAGUCUUAACUGGGCGUUAAGUUGCAGGGUAUAGACCCGAAACCCGGUGAUCUAGCCAUGGGCAGGUUGAAGGUUGGGUAACACUAACUGGAGGACCGAACCGACUAAUGUUGAAAAAUUAGCGGAUGACUUGUGGCUGGGGGUGAAAGGCCAAUCAAACCGGGAGAUAGCUGGUUCUCCCCGAAAGCUAUUUAGGUAGCGCCUCGUGAAUUCAUCUCCGGGGGUAGAGCACUGUUUCGGCAAGGGGGUCAUCCCGACUUACCAACCCGAUGCAAACUGCGAAUACCGGAGAAUGUUAUCACGGGAGACACACGGCGGGUGCUAACGUCCGUCGUGAAGAGGGAAACAACCCAGACCGCCAGCUAAGGUCCCAAAGUCAUGGUUAAGUGGGAAACGAUGUGGGAAGGCCCAGACAGCCAGGAUGUUGGCUUAGAAGCAGCCAUCAUUUAAAGAAAGCGUAAUAGCUCACUGGUCGAGUCGGCCUGCGCGGAAGAUGUAACGGGGCUAAACCAUGCACCGAAGCUGCGGCAGCGACGCUUAUGCGUUGUUGGGUAGGGGAGCGUUCUGUAAGCCUGUGAAGGUGUGCUGUGAGGUAUGCUGGAGGUAUCAGAAGUGCGAAUGCUGACAUAAGUAACGAUAAAGCGGGUGAAAAGCCCGCUCGCCGGAAGACCAAGGGUUCCUGUCCAACGUUAAUCGGGGCAGGGUGAGUCGACCCCUAAGGCGAGGCCGAAAGGCGUAGUCGAUGGGAAACAGGUUAAUAUUCCUGUACUUGGUGUUACUGCGAAGGGGGGACGGAGAAGGCUAUGUUGGCCGGGCGACGGUUGUCCCGGUUUAAGCGUGUAGGCUGGUUUUCCAGGCAAAUCCGGAAAAUCAAGGCCGAGGCGUGAUGACGAGGCACUACGGUGCUGAAGCAACAAAUGCCCUGCUUCCAGGAAAAGCCUCUAAGCAUCAGGUAACAUCAAAUCGUACCCCAAACCGACACAGGUGGUCAGGUAGAGAAUACCAAGGCGCUUGAGAGAACUCGGGUGAAGGAACUAGGCAAAAUGGUGCCGUAACUUCGGGAGAAGGCACGCUGAUACGUAGGUGAAGCGACUUGCUCGUGGAGCUGAAAUCAGUCGAAGAUACCAGCUGGCUGCAACUGUUUAUUAAAAACACAGCACUGUGCAAACACGAAAGUGGACGUAUACGGUGUGACGCCUGCCCGGUGCCGGAAGGUUAAUUGAUGGGGUUAGCGCAAGCGAAGCUCUUGAUCGAAGCCCCGGUAAACGGCGGCCGUAACUAUAACGGUCCUAAGGUAGCGAAAUUCCUUGUCGGGUAAGUUCCGACCUGCACGAAUGGCGUAAUGAUGGCCAGGCUGUCUCCACCCGAGACUCAGUGAAAUUGAACUCGCUGUGAAGAUGCAGUGUACCCGCGGCAAGACGGAAAGACCCCGUGAACCUUUACUAUAGCUUGACACUGAACAUUGAGCCUUGAUGUGUAGGAUAGGUGGGAGGCUUUGAAGUGUGGACGCCAGUCUGCAUGGAGCCGACCUUGAAAUACCACCCUUUAAUGUUUGAUGUUCUAACGUGGACCCGUGAUCCGGGUUGCGGACAGUGUCUGGUGGGUAGUUUGACUGGGGCGGUCUCCUCCUAAAGAGUAACGGAGGAGCACGAAGGUUGGCUAAUCCUGGUCGGACAUCAGGAGGUUAGUGCAAUGGCAUAAGCCAGCUUGACUGCGAGCGUGACGGCGCGAGCAGGUGCGAAAGCAGGUCAUAGUGAUCCGGUGGUUCUGAAUGGAAGGGCCAUCGCUCAACGGAUAAAAGGUACUCCGGGGAUAACAGGCUGAUACCGCCCAAGAGUUCAUAUCGACGGCGGUGUUUGGCACCUCGAUGUCGGCUCAUCACAUCCUGGGGCUGAAGUAGGUCCCAAGGGUAUGGCUGUUCGCCAUUUAAAGUGGUACGCGAGCUGGGUUUAGAACGUCGUGAGACAGUUCGGUCCCUAUCUGCCGUGGGCGCUGGAGAACUGAGGGGGGCUGCUCCUAGUACGAGAGGACCGGAGUGGACGCAUCACUGGUGUUCGGGUUGUCAUGCCAAUGGCACUGCCCGGUAGCUAAAUGCGGAAGAGAUAAGUGCUGAAAGCAUCUAAGCACGAAACUUGCCCCGAGAUGAGUUCUCCCUGACCCUUUAAGGGUCCUGAAGGAACGUUGAAGACGACGACGUUGAUAGGCCGGGUGUGUAAGCGCAGCGAUGCGUUGAGCUAACCGGUACUAAUGAAC
rnacentral:rRNA from 1 species